GGAAUCUUGCGCAAUGGGCGAAAGCCUGACGCAGCGACGCCGCGUGAGCGAUGAAGGCCUUAGGGUUGUAAAGCUCUUUCACCGGGGAAGAUAAUGACGGUACCCGGAGAAGAAGCCCCGGCUAACUCCGUGCCAGCCGCCGCGGUAAUACGGAGGGGGCUAGCGUUGUUCGGAAUUACUGGGCGUAAAGCGCGCGUAGGCGGAUUGUUAAGUCGGGGGUGAAAUCCCGGGGCUCAACCCCGGAACUGCCUUCGAUACUGGCAGUCUAGAGGUCGAGAGAGGUGAGUGGAAUUCCGAGUGUAGAGGUGAAAUUCGUAGAUAUUCGGAGGAACACCAGUGGCGAAGGCGGCUCACUGGCUCGAUACUGACGCUGAGGUGCGAAAGCGUGGGGAGCAAAC
rnacentral:rRNA from 1 species